CGGUGUGCUCAGCCAUUAUUACCCACCCCUUCUCAUGAAUAUUAAUGAGGGGUUAUUAAGAAAUGUAAAUGCUGCCUCAGGAGGUUGGGAGAUGGGGAGGGGGUCAGGGUUAGAGGACAGACCGUUCAGAAGACCGUUCAGAAGGCAGCGUGAUUGAAGGCAUUUUAAAAACUAUGUCAGAUCUUUCUCUUCUGCACCGUGGCAAUGUUUCCGGAUGCUUCAUUUCUAUUAAAACGAGGGGAGCAGCCUGGAAGAUGAUGGAAGCCUGUAGGAUCCAGAAGUGUCUUUGCUGGGAAGCCAGGGGGUGUCACCAAGACCUAGGAUGGCCUUACUGCUGCUCAGAGAGGCUAAGCACUUGUCUGAGGUCACACAGAGAUGUACCAAGGAAGGAUGAGAAGAAAGUGAGAACAAGGGGAAUAAAAGAAGGUGAGAAGACAGGGGAAAAGGAGGAAGGAAGAAAAGGAGGGAGAAAGGUAGGGAGAAAGGAAGAGGAAACAAAUGCAGGACAUUGAAGACCCUUUCAGACUUGAUCCCAGGGAAAGAGCCCUGGACUGGGAAUACAUGCUAGCUAUAAAACUCUAUAAAUUGAGAACAGCUUGUGAGAACAGAAAGAAAAAAGAGACUGUAAUUUUGAAGAGUUUACAAUCUCGUAAUUACAGAAGAGGAGACUGAAGUCCAGAGAAUACAAAUUCAAAACUGCACCAUGCGAUUGUGUUACGGGUUCAGGUUCACUCCAGGUCUUCUAACAUAUCGGCCAGUGCAGGAGGGAACUGCAGAUAACAAAUAAAAUUGCCGUCAACAGCAUGAUGUGUUCACAGCCAAAGAAAUGAAAUGAAAUAAAAUUUCCAAAAAUAAAGAAAAUUAAUUGUAAAAAAAAAGAGUAUGAUGUAGCUUUAUGAAAAUGAUGAUUAAAGACAUUGCAAGGAAAGAAAA